rnacentral:rRNA from 1 species
UACAGAGGGUGCAAGCGUUGUUCGGAAUUAUUGGGCGUAAAGCGCGCGCAGGCGGUCAGAGGCGUCGGUGCUCAAAGUCCACCGCUUAACGGUGGGAGGCGUGCCGAUACGCUCUGACUGGAGGGCGGGCGAGGGUGGUGGAAUUGCCGGUGUAGUGGUGAAAUGCGCAGAUAUCAGGAAGAACACCCGUGGCGAAAGCGGCUCUCUGGAACGGUACUGACGCUGAGGCGCGAAAGCUAGGGGAGCAAACAGG